rnacentral:rRNA from 1 species
GACAGAGGGUGCAAACGUUGCUCGGAAUUACUGGGCGUAAAGCGCGUGUAGGUGGACCAGCAAGUCAGGCGUGAAAUCCCUAGGCUCAACCUAGGAACUGCACCUGAAACUGCUGGUCUGGAGUGGUGGAGAGGAAAGCAGAAUUCCUGGUGUAGAGGUGAAAUUCGUAGAUAUCAGGAGGAACACCGGUGGCGAAGGCGGCAUCCUGGACCGACACUGACGCUGAGGAGCGAAAGCCAGGGGAGCAAACGGG